GAAACGGAGAAAGCUAGUUAGAUCAAAGAUCUGAACCGAGAUCGGAGAAGAAGAAGAGAAUGGGAACCUCGGUGGCGGGUCUAGCUCCGGGUCUGUCACGGAAGCUGAAGAAGGUUCAAGAAUCUCGGAUCGACACGCCUCAUCUCUUGUCUUCGCUCAACACGCUCUCUUCCUUCUACGACGACAACACUCCUCAGGCGCGUCGCAACCUCCGAUCCACCAUCGAGAAGCGCGCCCUCUCCAUCAACUGCGAAUUCCUCGACGCUUCCCACGCCGCGCAGCUGGCCUUGGAUAGCGUGGAGAACGAGGUCGAUUCGCUCGCCGAGUGCUGCGACAGGAUAGCAAAGGCUUUGAAUAGUUGUAGUGCUAGCACUGCUGACAUUAUCGGUACCACAAAGAGGCUCAAACAAGAGCUUGAAACUACUACACAAAGAGAUUGUGGCAUGUUUCUUACGUGAUUAUCAGCUCUCCCCUGAAGAGAUAAAUGCACUUAGAGAAGAAGAGCUGAAUGAAAACUUUUUCAAGGCAUUGUCUCAUGUCCAAGAGAUUCAUGCCAAUUGCAAAGUGUUGCUUAGGACACAUCAUCAGCGUGCUGGUUUAGAGCUGAUGGAUAUGAUGGCUGUGUAUCAAGAAGGAGCUUAUGAGCGCCUAUGCAGCUGGGUUCAGGCGGAAUGUAGAAAUUGAGUGACACUGACAAUCCGGAAGUUAGUGAGCUUCUGAAAACUGCAGUGCGCUACCUCAGGGAAAGAUCUGUCCUUUUCAAAUAUUGUGCAGAAGAGGUAGCCAAUAUGAGACACAACGCACUAUUUAGAAGAUUUAUAAGUGCUCUUACACGUGAAGGACCUGGUGGAUUGCCUCGACCAAUUGAAGUGCAUGCUCAUGACCAACUACGAUAUGUCGGUGAUAUGCUAGGCUGGUUGCAUCAGGCCUUGGCAUCUGAACGUGAACUUGUAGCUGUAUUACUUGAUCCAGAUACAAUUACCGAUUCUGGUCCAAAGCAAUUCUCCAAUAACUCUGAGGAUGGCUCUGGGAAGACAGAAUCUGACUUGAUGUUUGUUCUUGAUAGAAUUUUUGAAGGAGUAUGUUGACCAUUUAAAUUGAGAGUUGAACAAGUUUUACAGUCUCAACCAAGUCUUAUAGUAUCCUACAAACUCAGUAGUACACUUGAAUUUUACUGCUACACUAUCUCAGAUUUACUUGGGCGAGAAACUGCACUUUGUAAUACACUAUGGGCACUGAAAGAUGCUGCUCAGAAUACAUUUUUUGAUAUUUUGAAAGGCCGAGGGGAAAAGCUUUUGCGGUAUCCCCCACUUGUUGCUGUUGAUCUUUCCCCGCCACCAGCAGUGACGGAAGGGGUAUCUGUACUUCUUGAAAUUAUCGACAACUACAACAGCAUGAUGGUUCCUGCUUCUGGCCAAAAACCUGCUUUUGGUCCAGUUAUAUCUGCUAUACUGGAUCCAAUAGUUCAGAUGUGUGAACAAGCAGCGGAGGCACACAAGUCAAAGGGAGCUGGCCACUCAUCAAGAAGGAGUGGGAUGAGUUUUGACUGUGGUCAACUUACUAAAUCAUCAGUUGAUGCAAUUUUGUCAAAUAGUAGCUCUGUGUCUUCCUCACUGACCGAUUCGACCACCCACUACUAAGAACCUCCUGAUGCCAUUCUUCUUUCUUGGAUUAACUAGGUGAGGCUCUUGAUACUACUUACUUCCUAUGUCCACUACAUAUGAAAGAUACACUGUUUGAUUGAUACAGGAUAUUUGGCAACCAGCUUUUGUUUCUUAUUGGUUUAAGCUAUACUAAUCCAACUUAUGCGGCUGCCAUACAGCCGUCCAUUCCAGUCUUUACCUUUCUGUUGGCUGUAAUGAUGGGGUCAGUUUCAUUUCACUUGUGUCAUUUAUCAAUUCCUACUUUUAUGUGUGUAUAUUCCUAGAACUCAAAACCCAAAGGCAUUCUCUCACUUGUAGUGCUGAAAUGUGUACAUUAAUAAACUUAUUCAGAUACGCCAGGACAUACAGUAAUGUGUAUCUGUAUAGACCUUUUCAUGUAGUACAGAAAGAGUGAACUUACUCAGAUAUGAUGGUCUAGCAAAAGUUGGAGGAACUAUUAUCUGUGUCUCUGGUGCCAUAUUUAUGGUUUUUAUCGUGGCCCAGCUUUGAUAGGAUAUGCUGAAUUCAAUCAUGUAACACAAAAUGAAAUAAGUGCUAAAGGUCAGCCAGAGCCAUCUGGAUGGUUAAUUGGUGGUUUACAGAACCUUUGGUUUGACCAUUUUCAUCUUGGAGUUCUGUGCUUGAUAGGGAACUGCAUUUGCAUGGCUGCAUUUCUAGCCAUUCAGGUAUGUAUCUCUUUGUCAUAUGUUGCAUAAGUUACUGUUGAUUGUAGCAUUAAUGGAAAAAAAAAAAAUUAGUGAUCAAUGUUCCAUUUUGCCUGUUACCCGUUUACUAAGCCCAACUUCUAUGUGCCAUUCAUCAGGGAGGCUGGGAUCACUGACUCUAAACGUUCUUGCUUAUUAGGAAUUAUCCUUUUCACUUAAAUUCCUAUGAUAUAAAGCUUGUGGUACUGUCACUUCUCCACACUCCAACUUCUUCUAGUGACUCAUGAUUUAGGUUAAAGAGUAUAGACCUUAGUUGUGAUUGCCUAAUUGCUUCUAUUGUAAACUCUUCUUGCUUAUCCUAAUUCUUUCUAUGAUUAGGGGGCCUAUGAAGGUAAGGUCCCCUAAUAUUUUUGGUCAAGAAUUUGCACAAUGAUGAAUAACAUAUCCCCCCCCCCCCACACACACACA